rnacentral:misc_RNA from 1 species
GUACUCUCACACUUCUGAUCCUUGCAAAGGGAUUUGGAGCGGUGGACUUGGGUGUUGCCGCUUGACGGUGGCUCGCCUCGAAUGCAUUCGUGCAACUCUUGGUUGGACAUAGUACGGCGUGAUAAGUGUCUUCGCCGGCGCCUCGCAAGAGGGUGGCUGAUCUUGAGCUCUGUGCUUUCAAACCGUCCUCGGACAAUGACUGACA